CCUACGGGUGGCUGCAGUGAGGAAUAUUGGUCAAUGGACGAGAGUCUGAACCAGCCAAGUAGCGUGAAGGAUGACUGCCCUAUGGGUUGUAAACUUCUUUUAUAUGGGAAUAAAAUGUUCCACGUGUGGGCUUUUGUAUGUACCCUAUGAAUAAGGAUCGGCUAACUCCGUGCCAGCAGCCGCGGUAAUACCGAGGAUCCGAGCGUUAUCCGGAUUUAUUGGGGUUAAAGGGGGGGUCGGUGGAUUGUUAAGUCAGUUGUGAAAGUUUGCGGCUCAACCGUAAAAUUGCAGUUGAAACUGGCAGUCGUGAGUGCAGGAGAGGUGGGCGGAAUGCGUGGUGUAGCGGUGAAAUGCUUAGAUAUCACGAAGAACUCCGAUUGCGAAGGCAGCUCACUGGAGUGCAACUGACACUGAGGCUCGAAAGUGUGGGUAUCGAACAGGAUUAGAUACCCUUGUAGUC
rnacentral:rRNA from 1 species